CCUGCUUUCUUUUGCUGGCGACCGGCGCACGGGUGAGUAACACGUAUCCAACCUGCCCUUUACUCGGGGGUAGCCUUUCGAAAGAAAGAUUAAUACCCGAUAGCAUAAUGAUUCCGCAUGGUUUCAUUAUUAAAGGAUUCCGGUAAAGGAUGGGGAUGCGUUCCAUUAGGUUGUUGGUGAGGUAACGGCCCACCAAGCCUUCGAUGGAUAGGGGUUCUGAGAGGAAGGUCCCCCACAUUGGAACUGAGACACGGUCCAA
rnacentral:rRNA from 1 species